rnacentral:rRNA from 1 species
AGCAGCCGCGGUAAUUCCAGCUCCAAUAGCGUAUAUUAAAGUUGUUGCAGUUAAAAAGCUCGUAGUUGAAUUUCGGGAUCAAGGAAUCGGUCAUGCCUCGGUAUGUACUGGUUUUAUUGGUUCUCACCUUCUAAAGAACCAUAAUGUCAUUCAUUUGAUGUUAUGGGGAAUUAGGACUGUUACCUUGAAAAAAUUAGAGUGUUUAAAGCAGGCUUACGCUUGAAUACAUUAGCAUGGAAUAAUGAAAUAGGACAUCAGAUUCUAUUUUGUUGGUUUCUAGGAUCGAUGUAAUGAUUAAUAGGGAUAGUUGGGGGCAUUAGUAUUCAAUUGUCAGAGGUAAAAUUCUUGGAUUUAUUGAAGACUAACUUCUGCGAAAGCAUUUGCCAAGGAUGUUUUCAUUAAUCAAGAACGAAAGUUAGGGGAUCGAGGACGAUCAGAUACCGUCGUAGUCUUAACCAUAAACUAUGCCGACUAGGGAUCGGACGAUGUUAAAUUUUAUUGACUCAUUCGGCGCCUUAAC